GGCAUGCGUAGCGCCCCUCGCCUCCUCGGACCGCCCACCAGCCCUGUGUUCACUGGGGGUGAACCCGCUGCCCAACGUGGUAGAGCUGGAACUGGGUGCCUGAACCGGCUGGGUAUUUGGUCGAUGAAGUUUUGCCCUUAAAGGGAUGCCGUACUUUCGGUGGAGCAUAAUGGGAGCUAUAAAGCCAGAAUCUUGCAAUCCUUGUAUUUUGCACCCUGGACACCACACUUACUUCCCCUUCAUCCUUGCCCUGAUUGGACCAGAAAGGAGGCCUGAGGCUGGACCAUCAUGAAGGAAGGAGUGUAUAAUAAGAAGACCUUAUGGGACUUAAAAUUUUCAGCUUCCAGACUGUUGAGAUCUUUAUCGAUUGGAAUUCACUGAGCUUCAUUCUCAGCAUUGAUGAGGGCAGGUGAGAAAGAAGAAAAAAGCAUCUCUGUCUUGAUUCAAACUAAACACUUCUCUGAAAUAUUUACAAAGCAGUGUGCGUCACAUGAGGCCUGGGCCAAAGGACCCUGUGACUUUCUGUGUAAGAGGCCCCUUACACAUGGUGGACACCUGAUAAAUAUUCACUGAAG